rnacentral:sRNA from 1 species
CCCACGGCUUGCGCCGUGGGCCAGAGUCUAACGCCCCUAUGGGGCU